CAGGGUGAGAUAAAAAAAACUGCAACAAAGUUAAACGCCAUAAUUUUUACAUAUUUUUAAUUUUAUUGAAUGAAAGCAACAAAUGUCGGAAAUAGCAUUAAAUUUUAAAAUAAGUUUAGAUUUGUUAGAAUUGGUCACCUUUGGCACGAAUGAAACCGUCACAUGCUGACCGAAUGUUGCUCUGAGGUAUUUUGGCCCAUUCACGGCGAAGCGCUGAAGCGACACUUUGGUAUUUCUUAGUGCCAACCUUGCUCUCCAAAAUACUCCAGACACAAUAGUCCAACGGAUUGGUAUCCGGAGAUUUUGGUGGCCAUUGUGCCCUGGAAAUGAAGCGAGAAACCUCAUUUUGUAACCAUUCUUGGGUGGCGCGUGCUGAGUGCUAUGGUGCUGAGUCCUGUUGGAAGGUCCAAGGUCUG